CAGAGGUUAGGGAGAAACCAAGAGUUGGCCUCUUGCACAGGCCCAGUCUCUGGAGCUGAUCACUCUGCAGAGUUCUGUCCUUACCCCCUCCCAGGCCUCCGCCAUCCACUGUAGCCAAGACACCAUAGUCUUGCCCUGUGGCCUGUCUCACAGUGCAGGUAUGACCAUGGUACAGGCUGGCAAGGCUGCAGAUCACGGGAAACCACCACUGAGAAGCAAGCUUGUUGUAGCCCUUCCCCCAUGCCACCAAGGUCACCUGGGAAAGCCCCAGGGAUGAUCAGCAAGCAGAAGAAACAAGGUCCCUACAGACUAUUGAAGCAGUGGACCCCAGGAACUGAAAUUACCUCAGAAUUCUCAUCCCUUGAGAGAAGAAAGCCUAAAGCUUGGACCAGCAAGAAGAGAAACUGUUCUGGAAAGACACUUCCAAUUUGUCAUGACACUUCACAGGAGAGGCGGUGACGGGUGGGACUACACCUUACUCAGGACUGUUGAAAUAUGCAUGACUUUGGCUUCUGCUUUAACCUCAACCUCAGAUCACGACUAGAAAGAUGGACUUGCUGGGCUCACUGGACAUCUGUCCCCUCUCCCCGUGUGGCCAUCUGCAGAGUCCAUUCUAGUGAGUCCAGCCCUUACCACUUUCCAGGCCUCCGAUGAACCUUGGCACUUUUCUUCCCACUUGCCAUCCCUUAGCCCAUCCCUGCAGCUUCUGUAGACACACCUCAUUCCCGGGACACUUCUGAGGUGGCACCUCAGAGGCCCCAGGGACAGGACCUGCAGGGCAAAUGUCUUUAGCACCCAAUCUGGGGUAAUUAGACAUUCACUCACAUCUCUUAGGGAAAGUCACAUAAUAUAUGAAGCUAGGCUGGAAGGAAGCUCCAGAGUGGUGGCCUAAUGUUGCCUGGUUGCUCUAGCUAUCCGCCUGAAGAGUCAAUACAGCCUUGUGCAUAUACUACCAUGAUGCAGGCUACCAAUUUAGCUUUUCAAAAAUUAAAAAUUAAAAUAAAAUAAAAGCAGUUAAAUCACCUCCUGGGGGCUAGAGUCCAAACUGAGCUUCUUGGGCACAGGCUCCAGCUCUAAG